GCGCUGAAUUCUCUCUCUGGCCUGCUUCAGAUCAUUAAGAACUUCAAUUACCCGUUCACUGAUCACCAGCUUCAUCUCGCCUGUUUCUGUUUCUUCCGGAGAGUUCACGGCCACAAAUGCGAGUGAAUCGUCCACGGAAUUGAAUUCCUCUCCACUAUUUUCGAUCUUUUCUUUCGAAGAUUCGUUGGAGAAAAUUUCUGAACCUGAGGAACUCGAGCUGGUAGUGCCUCGAGCAUUUGGAUUCUCUUCGUCUGAAUGAGAAAUUUCACCGAUGGUCUGCGAAUUGAUUGGGAGAGACGUUGCUGCGGUUAGGGUUUUCGGUUCAUCUUCAUCGCAAAUUUCCGACGAAAUGGACGGUUCUGAGUUCAACAUCGUGAAAGAAAGGGUAAGAGAAAAACGACAUGUAGUCUUAUUUCCAGUCAAGAAGUGGGCCCAAAAUACGUAAGGUUCGCCGACAUUCCGAAUUAUACCCUGUGCGUUUACUAUAUUCCAAGAAAGACGGUGUCGUUUGUUACUCCCAUCGCCUCGGCAAAACGAGGUGUCGGCACAUGUGAUCCUGUCUCUCCGCUGCUAGAUGAAUGCUUCCUCGGUACGUUAUCUUCUUCCCAUUUCUUCCAAACGAUAUGUCGUUCGUAAGGAAUUAAGACCUUAUUACUAAAUUAAUUGGUCUUAAUUAAUGUUUUAAAAUUAAAUAAAAUGCUUGAAAAUUCAUAUUCGUUUCGAGGA